AGAUGCGUGUGACAAAUGUGGCGGAUACAGCCACCCAUAGCCCUGGGCAAGGAGCUGCCCGCGGGGCUGGAGGAGAGGGAGAGGCUAGACUCUCAGCUCGAGGUUGCCCGAGGCUGAACUUACUGGACUACUGGGCUGUGCUUCUAGAGAUAUCAGUGCCUCGCUGGCCACAGAAAAACCCACCUGAGGAACCUGUUAAACACCCAGAGAUGCUGAGUCAUUAAGUCUGUGGUGGAGCCCAGAAAUCUGUAGUUAAAAUCCCAGGCCACAGGACCCAAAGUCGGGGCCAGAGUAGUCCCUGUGGAGCGUGGAAGGACGGCAGUUUCUUGGUGAAAGGUAUCACCCCUCAGGGGCCAGGACCUGGCAUUAUUCUGUUGCCCAGUCAGGGCCCAGGUAACACACCAAGCAGUGAUGAAACUUGAGCUGCCCCUCCCUGUCCCCAGCUGUCCUGGGAGGCUCCAGUGGCCUGGCCCCUCAGCCACCUUCCCCAAGAUUCAGGUGUCACACAACUGGGCCCCAAGCCAGGCUUCUGGUUCCCAGGCUCCCUCCCUCUCCCUCUCAAGCCGGUUGGGAUCCCAGGAGAUUUCAGUUCUCUCUGUAGGAAAUGGCUGGGAGGCUCGGAGGGCAGUGGGAGGGUGCUGAGACCAUGGGGCCUACCCUGGGCCCCAGGAGACCCCUUCCCUCUACCAGCAAGCCCUGAGUGGACAGGCUAGGUCUUCCAGGUCCUGCCACUCUGUACUGAUGCUCCCAGGCCCUUCACUGCCAGCCUUGUGCCCUAGUGCCCCUCCCACCUUAGCCCUUGUCCUGAUUCUCCUUGACAUACUUGCUGAUGGUCAUGCCUUCCUAAAAACUGCAGUCCUGAACUUUCUAGUGUCCAGGGGAAUUCUGAGAGCCAGUCCUCUGUUUCUCUGGCUCUGGGAACUGUUUAUAUUAUCCUUGCAACUUUCCUGUAAAUCUAAAAUAAUUGCAUUCUCCGGAUUGUGACCACACCCCCUCCUCUCUGGUACCCAUGGCGGGGAGAGGGGGGCAGCAGAGACAGAAAGAAGGGCUAUAAAAUUCUUGACUCACAUCAAAAAGAAUGGCUAAAAUAACAACAACAACAAUAAUAAUAACUGGACAAUACCAAAGCCUGGCUGAGUGAAGCAACUGGAACUCACAUGCGUUGCUUUUGGGGAAUGCAAAAUGGUGCAGCCACUUUUGAAAACAAUUUGUCAGUUUCUUAUGAAGUUAAACAUACGCUCACCAUACAACCCAGCGAUCCAACUCAUAGGUAUUUACCCAAGGGAAAUGAAAAUUAUAUACAUACAAAAAGCUGUGCAUGAAUGUUUAUAGAGACGUUAUUCAUAAUCAUCAAAAAGCCCCCCAAAGAUCUUUCAACUGGUAAAUGGAUAAGCAAACUGGCAUAUCCAUGCAAUGGGAUACCCAUACUCAGCAGUAAAAAGAAAUGAAGUCUUUUUUUUUUUUUAAGAUUUUUUUUUCAUGUGGACCAGCUUUAAAGUCUUUAUUGAAUUCAUUACAAUAUUGCUUCUCUUUUAUGUUUUUGGUUUUUUGGCGGCGAGGCGUGUGGGAUCUUAGCUCCCCGACCAGGGAUUGAACCCGCACCCCUUGCGUUGGAAGGUGAAGUCUUCACCACUGGACCACCAGGGAAGUCCUGAAAUGAAGUUUUGAUUCACGCAACAACAUGGAUGAAUCUCAAGUGCAUCUUACUAAGUGAAAGAAACCAGACCCCAAAAAACUACAUGUCGUGUGAGUCUAUUUAUGUGACUUUCUGGAAAAGGCAAAACUGUAGGGAUGGAUCAGUGAUUGUCUGGGCUGAAGAUGGGGGAAGGGUUGACUAUGAAGGGGCAGGUGGGAAUUUUGGGGGGUGAUGGAAAUGUUCUGUGUCAUGAUUGUGGUGAUGAUUACAUGAUUGUCUGCAUUUAUCAAGACUCAAAGACAUGUACACUAUAAAGGCUGAAUUUUACCGGAUGUAAAUUAUACCAUAGUUUUUUUUUUAAAGCCUCCCUCAUGUCCCCACCUCACCUCCACAGUAGCUUUCUGCCACAUCCCUGAGGCCUUAGUGCAAAAACCAUAAAACUAAACCAUGACUAAAUGCAGUAUGGGAUCCAAGAUUGGCUCCUGGAACAGAAAGAAGGAUAUUAGUGGAAAACCUGGUGAAAUCCAAAUAAAUACUAAAUCCAAAUACUACUAAUAGUAGUGUACCAAUGUCAUUUCUUUGUUGUGACAAUGUAUCAUGGUAAUGGAAGGUGUUAAUAUUUGGGGAAAUUGAAUGAGGGGCAUAAGGGAACUGUUUAUAUUAUCCUUGCAACUUUCCUGUAAAUCUAAAAUUCUUCCAAAAUAAUUGCAUAAUAUAAAUAAU